CCUACGGGUGGCAGCAGUGGGGAAUAUUGCACAAUGGGGGAAACCCUGAUGCAGCGACGCCGCGUGAGUGAAGAAGUAUCUCGGUAUGUAAAGCUCUAUCAGCAGGGACGAUAAUGACGGUACCUGACCAAGAAGCCCCGGCUAACCACGUGCCAGCAGCCGCGGUAAUACGUAGGGGGCAAGCGUUAUCCGGAUUUACUGGGUGGAAAGGGGGCGUAGACGGGUGGACAAGUCUGGAGUGAAAUCCCGGGGCUUAACCCCGGAACUGCUUUGGAAACUGUGCGGCUGGAGUGCAGGAGGGGUAAGCGGAAUUCCUAGUGUAGCGGUGAAAUGCGUAGAUAUUAGGAGGAACACCGGUGGCGAAGGCGGCUUACUGAACUGUAACUGACGUUGAGGCUCGAAAGCGUGGGGAGCAAACAGGAUUAGAUACCCUGGUAGUC
rnacentral:rRNA from 1 species